GCUAUACAUGCAAGUCGAACGCGUUGGCCCUAAUUGAUUGAUGGUGCUUGCACCUGAUUGAUUUUGGUCGCCAACGAGUGGCGGACGGGUGAGUAACACGUAGGUAACCUGCCCAGAAGCGGGGGACAACAUUUGGAAACAGAUGCUAAUACCGCAUAACAGCGUUGUUCGCAUGAACAACGCUUAAAAGAUGGCUUCUCGCUAUCACUUCUGGAUGGACCUGCGGUGCAUUAGCUUGUUGGUGGGGUAACGGCCUACCAAGGCGAUGAUGCAUAGCCGAGUUGAGAGACUGAUCGGCCACAAUGGGACUGAGACACGGCCCAUACUCCUACGGGAGGCAGCAGUAGGGAAUCUUCCACAAUGGGCGCAAGCCUGAUGGAGCAACACCGCGUGAGUGAAGAAGGGUUUCGGCUCGUAAAGCUCUGUUGUUAAAGAAGAACACGUAUGAGAGUAACUGUUCAUACGUUGACGGUAUUUAACCAGAAAGUCACGGCUAACUACGUGCCAGCAGCCGCGGUAAUACGUAGGUGGCAAGCGUUAUCCGGAUUUAUUGGGCGUAAAGAGAGUGCAGGCGGUUUUCUAAGUCUGAUGUGAAAGCCUUCGGCUUAACCGGAGAAGUGCAUCGGAAACUGGAUAACUUGAGUGCAGAAGAGGGUAGUGGAACUCCAUGUGUAGCGGUGGAAUGCGUAGAUAUAUGGAAGAACACCAGUGGCGAAGGCGGCUACCUGGUCUGCAACUGACGCUGAGACUCGAAAGCAUGGGUAGCGAACAGGAUUAGAUACCCUGGUAGUCCAUGCCGUAAACGAUGAGUGCUAGGUGUUGGAGGGUUUCCGCCCUUCAGUGCCGGAGCUAACGCAUUAAGCACUCCGCCUGGGGAGUACGACCGCAAGGUUGAAACUCAAAGGAAUUGACGGGGGCCCGCACAAGCGGUGGAGCAUGUGGUUUAAUUCGAAGCUACGCGAAGAACCUUACCAGGUCUUGACAUCUUGCGCCAACCCUAGAGAUAGGGCGUUUCCUUCGGGAACGCAAUGACAGGUGGUGCAUGGUCGUCGUCAGCUCGUGUCGUGAGAUGUUGGGUUAAGUCCCGCAACGAGCGCAACCCUUGUUACUAGUUGCCAGCAUUAAGUUGGGCACUCUAGUGAGACUGCCGGUGACAAACCGGAGGAAGGUGGGGACGACGUCAGAUCAUCAUGCCCCUUAUGACCUGGGCUACACACGUGCUACAAUGGACGGUACAACGAGUCGCGAACUCGCGAGGGCAAGCAAAUCUCUUAAAACCGUUCUCAGUUCGGACUGCAGGCUGCAACUCGCCUGCACGAAGUCGGAAUCGCUAGUAAUCGCGGAUCAGCAUGCCGCGGUGAAUACGUUCCCGGGCCUUGUACACACCGCCCGUCACACCAUGAGAGUUUGUAACACCCAAAGUCGGUGGGGUAACCUUUAGGAGCCAGCCGC
rnacentral:rRNA from 2 species